rnacentral:lncRNA from 1 species
CAAAAAUUUAAUAUAUGGGGUUCUUCAAUAUGCUGAAUCUAACCAUGUAUUCAAAUUUUUAAUAUUUGGGCCCGGUUAUCAAAUUGGUCCACAUUGAGGUCUAAAGGGUCUAAAAUUGAACAUUAUUUGAUUUCAUCAAAAAUUGAAUUCUUUGGGUUCUAUGAUAUGCUGAAUAUAACCAUGUAUUUAGAUUUUGGAUAUUGGACCAUAAUAGGUAAAU